rnacentral:rRNA from 1 species
UACGUAGGGGGCAAGCGUUGUCCGGAAUCAUUGGGCGUAAAGCGUGCGUAGACGGUUAUGUAAGUCAGGUGUGAAAGCCCCGGGCUCAACCUGGGAAUUGCAUUUGAGACUGCAUAGCUAGGGUGCGGAAGAGGGAAGCGGAAUUUCCGGUGUAGCGGUGAAAUGCGUAGAUAUCGGAAGGAACACCAGUGGCGAAAGCGGCUUCCUGGUCCAGCACCGACGUUCAGGCACGAAAGCGUGGGGAGCAAACAGG